rnacentral:rRNA from 1 species
GUGAGGAAUAUUGGUCAAUGGGCGGGAGCCUGAACCAGCCAAGUCGCGUGAAGGAAGAAGGAUCUAUGGUUCGUAAACUUCUUUUGCAGGGGAAUAAAGUGCAGGACGUGUCCUGUUUUGUAUGUACCCUGAGAAUAAGGAUCGGCUAACUCCGUGCCAGCAGCCGCGGUAAUACGGAGGAUCCGAGCGUUAUCCGGAUUUAUUGGGUUUAAAGGGUGCGUAGGUGGUUUGAUAAGUGAGCGGUGAAAGUUUGCAGCUUAACUGUAAAAAUGCCGUUGAAACUGUCGGACUUGAGUGUAAAUGAGGUAGGCGGAAUGCGUGGUGUAGCGGUGAAAUGCAUAGAUAUCACGCAGAACUCCGAUUGCGAAGGCAGCUUACUAAGCUACAACUGACACUGAAGCACGAAAGCGUGGGGAUCAAACAGGAUUAGAAACCCGGGUAGUCC